rnacentral:sRNA from 1 species
AAAAAAUUAUUUAUUUUUGACAUGCUAUUACAUUUCUUUUUUAUUACAGAGAACUUUUAAUCCUGUUGAGGAAUCCAAACCAAUAUACUUUACAUAUCCUAAAGAUUCUUCUAAUGAUGUGCCAAAAGAGAUC